rfam:Gossypium raimondii Chr10_contig_1376, whole genome shotgun sequence.
UGUUAAAAGUUUCAUCCGUUUCUAUUAUUAAAAACUGACAUUAACAAAAUAACUAGACAGUUACACAUGUCAUGCCAUGUGUACCUCAUUCUGACAUUCAAGGACCAAUUCUUAAUAGUAGAAAUUAAUGAAACUUUUAAUA